rnacentral:lncRNA from 1 species
UGUGUUUGAACUCUAUUUUUUGUAUCUUUUAACAGCUGAAUAAAACUGGCUCAUAACAACUAGGUACGUAACGUACAGAUACAAUAUAUCAAAACACAAUCAGUUGUGGAGAUGGGCUCCUCUCAAAAGAUUACCAGAACAGACAACCAAACACUGAUUCAGAAAUCAUCACAAUACUUCCAGUGAUGGGGUUGGAUGUUAUAAUCCAAUACCGCCUUCUACCUGAACCAGCUUCUUACUACACCAACACAACGAGGAUGCGCAUUCACUGAGUACUUCCUAGUUAAUUCGUUGCAGAUUAGUUCAUCUAAAAUAAUAUGUUCCCUCUACCUUGCGAAUAGAAACAUUCGGGACUUAUAUUGGUAGUCUGUUACCAAGUAUUCGAACUAACUAUCCUCCACAUCAAAGGUGGUUAUGGCUAGAUUCUCUCAGUUUAUUCUCAACCAAUAUUAGUUUGCAUACAAAAUCCAACACUCUAGGAGAGUUCUAGAACAUUGCGUUGUGCUAAUUUCUACUUCGUUUUAUUUUCAAUGCCCGGUAAACCAAAAAUUACGAUGAAACAUCAUUCAGAUAUCAUGCUUUCCCGAACGAAUCCAAUGCAGGGGAUUCUGCUGUCAGUUAAAAUAAGACCUACACUUCUCAACUACAUGUAAUGUAAUAUUACAAAAAUAGACUUAUAUGACAAUUUAUACACGUAAGCAAGAAUGCCGCUACGUCAGCAUGAAAUUCCCGCCAGUUUGUAGGAAUUUAAAGAAAGGCGGUGCUUGCUUGCAUGCAAAAUAGUAACCAUUGCUGGCGGUUAGCGGUUGUGAGUUGAUACCCGGUUGAAGUACAGAAACGUAACAUUCAAGUUACAUUUUAUUAGAUCUAUAGGAAUGGAUGAUAUGACAAGCCUAAUAUAUGUACGCUUUCGUAACAUAGCGCAAUGCAGGGGAGAACCCCCGUUCCCAACUUAAUGGGUGAUUUGAAUGGGAUCCACACCCAAUGAGAACAAGCAUUGGGAUCCUUUUCUGUGGUUCCCGAUGUUGCGGUCGUAGGUACUCGACAGGGCUACUCAAACACAUCUAGGGGAACCGGGAACUGGGAACACCUGGAACAUGUGGCAGCCGGACGAGCAAAGCCCUAGUAUUUACUUUUAUUCUUUUAAUAGUAAACCAAUAUUUUAAUAGUGGACUUACUAAAAUAACUAAAACCGCUAAAGUUGUGAAAGUAAAAUAACCUUUUAAACUAAUAACACAGUAUUUUAAUGAAGAAAAAUAUGACUCACACUUCCAGGUUAUUAAACAAUAUUGUUUAAAUCUUAAAGACAAUACAAUAUCAGAGUAAUACAGUUUUAAUUUUGUGAAAUGGGAUUUAAAAUGGUGAAUAUUCUAGUGUUUUACUUUAAUGGAAUGUGCUUUUUACAUUCUAUUUUUAUUGAUCCAUGACAAGCAUACAAGUCAACUAUCAUGUGCCAUUUAUAGUGGAGGUGAAAACAUCACUUUGAAAGCAAAUUAUAUUGCAUUUUCUAUUCUAUUGAAUUGUGUAGAAGAUCCAAGUUGUUAUAAUAUGUAACCUUAUAUCAAGUUGCUCUUGUUUCAUUACUUCAUUUACAACAUCGUGCAUGCUGAUUAAUAAACAAAGAAAAUCAUAUAUGUAUAUGUUAUUAUUUUUUUUGUACAUAUAUUAUUUUCAACAUAUUAUUGUAUCUACCAAUUAUUUGAUUUAAGUUAUGUUACAUCUAUACUCUUGGAGUAUCAAACCAAAAGGAAAAUUCAAAAAUAAAACACUUAAGCAUGUAUGACAAAGAAAUCAUUCUUGCAUGUGAUUGUGUUUGAAGUAUUAACAUUGUCACAGGCUUUAUUGAAAAAGCAUAUUUUUCACAACUUCAAGUGAUCAAAGUUUGAAAGUUCCAAAACUAGAAUAGAACCAAUAAAAUAUAAAAUAAAAAGAACAAAUAAUAAAUAAAAUGGAAUUUCAAAAACUAGAAAACAAUCAAAAUGUUUAUUUAAAUUGAAUAUGCAUGUAAACAUGUUUUAAUGAGUUGAAAUGUGGCAUUAUAAAAAGUACAUAGAAUAUCAUUUAGUUUAGCUUAAAUUCCAACUCUUACUAUUUUGUAAAGAUAUAGAGCUUGUUUUUAGCUCUUUUGCCACGUGAUAAAGGAGGAACAACAGGAAAAUAAAUGAAUAAAUAAAUAUACAUAUGUGUGUCUAUUUAUGUGCAUCCUCAAAAAGCUUAAAACUGCAAAUGAUGCUCACAGAUAGAAUCUGUAACUGACAAUCAAUAUGGAAUGGAUCAAAUACAAUGCCUUGCAAAUACCAAGAAGCACAGUAAUAUUAUAUAAUUAACAAAAAGAUAAAUUAAUCCAUAGUUAAUAAAAGCGUGCACAAUGCCAUAGAUGCAACGGUGGACUCGGCCAUGAUUGCAAGGCAUAUCCCUAACUAAACCCUGAUCCAUUGUUUCAGCAAGAAUUCUAAUGCAACUACAGUGUAGCCCCAAAGAAACAGACUUAGUAUUUCUCUAUUUAAUGCUAAUCUAUGCUUUAAUUGGUAAUGAGGGAGGAUAACCAUAGUCACUGAAUAGUGAAUGACUCAAAUACUGCCAUAAUUUUGUGCACAAGGAACCUUGGAGGCAGAGACGGAUUUUUCCCCACAAAUCUGAAGCCUUAAAGUGGAUCAUUUUUAAAAUUUGAAUUUUUUCAACAAAGAAUUUAUAUAUAUAUAUAUAUACACACACACACACAUAUAUAUAUAUAUAUAUAUAUAUAUGACAAAGUAAAGAUGUGGUUGACAUAAUCCUUGAUGCCCCAUUUUCCCUAACCCAUUGAGAGAAGGUGAAGGUGAGAGUAACAACCAUUGUACAUUGGAUGUGGUCCUCCAUUGUUCAUUUACUUUAGGGUGUGGCUGGAGGGAGAGUUAGUGAUGAAAGGCAUGGUUAGGUGACAACAGAUGAUUCCCCUCAAUUAUCAACUGAGGAGGUCAUCAAUGCCUCCCAUUUAAUAUCAAAAACUAGAACCCAAACCCACCACCACACCCCCAAAUUUAGACCAAAAUUAGCAUAAUGUGACAAUGCAAUUAAAGCUGGGCCAAUUGCCAUGGGAAAGAAAACUGAAAGGUGUACAUUGCCAUGGAUUGGGUUGUUAUUUAGCUGUUUAGAAGAUGGUCCCAUGGAAUCAUAUGAUUGAGGGGCCACAGCCAUUUUGUUGAAUAGAAUUAAGAAAAGGUCCCAAAAGCCCCCUCCCAUAUUAACUGGGCCUCAGUUUCCAAUGGGCCAUCCCCUUCCCACUCACUCUGUUGAGUUUGGAACCUUUGGGAACCUUAGGGGAACAGCUUUGAGAACCGUGAAAGUGCAAAUAUGUGAGGGCAUUGUACAGAGUUUAGCUUCUCAUGUAGGGCCAUUUUCUCAUUGUGCCUCAGUGCUUAGGGACAAGUAGUAGGUUUCAACUGCAAAGCUUUCUAUUUGUAUGUAUAUGUAUAUAUAGACAAAUAUAUUAAAACGAAAUAGUAGUAAUACAACACUGAAUUUAAUAAAAAUUCAACCCCCAUUAUUUUUAAUGAAUACCUACAAGUGUGUUUAUGAGUUCCACAAGAGAAGGCUUUCAUACUGCUUUGUUGCAUCCCCCUCUUCUGUUUUUGUGGGUGGACCCUCCAUAACUCCCACUAUGUAAGCCACAAAAAAUGGGCUACUUAACAUCCAGAUAAUGGCUUUUGGAAGCAUCUGGGACACCAUUGAUUAACAAACAGGGCCAUCGCACCUGCUUAUUAGUUGAACACACUGGGUGUUGUAGCCCACCAAUGCUUUUUUAGUUGUGCAGAGUGUAGGAUAAGAAUCCAGUGUCUCUCACCAUAAUGCAAAAUCAUGACCUAUGCUACUUAGCUCAUGAAUGUGGAAGGUGAUCCCAUGGCUAAUCCAAAAUCUUUUUCCCAAAUUAUGAUCAAAAGGAAUUAAAUUCGAGAUUUCAUUUCAGUUAACAGAGCCUCACCACCUGGCCUUGCCACACUGGAGCUGGAGAAUUUUUCUUUUAGCUACAACUAAUACCCUUGGUCCAGGUGGCCUUUUGUAAGAAAACCCAAUCCAUUUGUUUGAAAAAGGAAGCAAGAACUAUUUUAAAGCACUACAUAGUAUUAUGAUGAUCUCACUAUUAAUAUAGCUUAAAUUUAUUAAUAAUGUCAUUUGACCUUGUGCACUAGUCCCCCUUCAAUGUGAACUUCAAUGCUUUGAAGAAAGGGACACUUGCAUUUGUUAAAGUUUGAGACAAUUUUCAUUUGUGUCAUUAAAAUAUGACUUUUAAGUGUGGAUAGAAUCCAGAAUGUGGGUGACCAUGAGGUAGUGUUGCUUUAGCACAGAACAAGCCAUAGAUAUUUGAAGGUUUAACUGAAAACAAGGCCACAACAAACAUUAAAAAAAAGUAAAAAGAAAAAAGAAAUUGAACAUAAAAGAUGAAAUCAAAUCAACUAACUUAAUACCCUACACAUGCCCACAUUGUCUUAUGAGUUCCAUUAAAGAACAGACAAGAUAUUACAAUUGGGAACCUUGCUGAUUUAAGAGGCCAAAAAUGGGCUUAGGUUGUGAAGAGUCCACAAGGGGGCUUACUCACUUGUGCCCAGCUGGAGAGAGCCAUAGGAGCUCACAGCAAAGCAAAGCAAAGCACUCCAGCAGAUGGUACAAGCUGUAGCCUAGCCUAGUCCUUCCCACCAGUGCUGCUACAAGUAGGAGUUAGAAUGAAGGUUUCACAGCAGGGAGACAUUCUCAAGUUAACACUGGAAAGAAAAGUAUCCUGUGUGUGUUUUUGGGUGUGUCUGUGGACAUGGGAGCAGUGUGGUUGAUGCUAUUGCCCAGACAUCAGCACAGUUCCUUUUUCAAAAAAUAAAAAAAUGGAAGUAGUAGUGUUGCAGAGAGGCAUUUGGAAAUUCCAAAAAUCUCAAAAUAGGGUUUCUUUGUUAAUGUAUAUCAACUAUGUAGCUUGUUCUAACUUCUUCAUGUGCACCUGUGUUUGACAUGGAAAAUGAUUAUGGACAUAAUAAAAUUGAAUAAGGCAUUACACAAUACCAGUAAAGCAAUAAAAGAAACAAAAAUAAGAGACCUGAAAAUUUACCCUAUUCAUGACACCACACUUUCAAUAAAAUAACAUCCCUUGGUUUGUCAAAAUGUGCUAAAUUUCCAGAUAUACAUAUAUACAUAUAUACAUACACAUUCUUUGCACCUUCAGUCAUCAUGUAUGAUUCCUAUUACAUACACAUAUACAGACACAGAGAGAGAGAGAGAGAGAGAGAGAGAGAGAGAUGUUUGAAUUCAAUUGAAAUAAGAACUUUGACAAUAAUGAGUCUAUCAGGGUACUUAAGAACCCUAGAGCUCCUAAUGUCAAGGUUUACUUCAUGAACCUUCUCUAAUUAUUACUGCAACAUCAAGAGGUGUACCGCGAAGCCUUUUCUAAAUUCAAAAAAAGUUAACAACGAGUUAAAACGAGGCCGCAUGUAGUGGUAACAAGGAUCUUAACUGUAGGUCUACUACAUACGGAGGUGAGCAGCUGCAUCUGAAAUUGAACCCUAAGGCCCCACAUGAUGGCACGUAGAAGCAGAGCCUAAAUCGGCCAUCUCCUGUGACCUAAACUUAGACCAAAACCUGGGGCUCGGCCAUUGUGGCAAUAAGCGGCAAAUCUGAGCCAUCCAAAGGCAGCUCACUAUAUUAAAGCCACGGGGAGUACAUUCCCUGCUUUGUUUCUCCCCCCCUCCGCUCCCCUACCCUCCCCUCCCCGCCACUCUUUAUUUAGAGGGGUUGCUAGUGGAGCCCCAUCUCCAAACCAGGAGCCAAGAUCCCUUUCCGAGCCCAUGUUCGCCUCAUGUGCUGGUGUGUGCCGAGGUGUGCUGUGCUCGUCGGGAACGCGGCUCCCCUCAAGUGUUCACGAUCGGGGACAAUUAGAAGUCUGCGACAGCCCACCAUAGAACAACCGCAGGUAUAUCCCCCCCCUGCAACCCCGAACUCAUUGCAAUGUCAGGGCUGCCAAAUACCCUCUAACAACUUGCACUGCGAAGCAAUUUGCCCCUCCGCUAGAAGUAUCUGGAGGUAAUCAGAACGGGCUAGAAGUAGCUGCGAAUCUAUUGAUUCCUGAUACGCCAUAGCUGCUUAUCAUGCCCAUUGCUGCUGCUGCUGCUGCGUUAGAGAAAAGACAGUUGGAAGGAUAAAAGAUGUCGUUUUCUUUUAGCAAGCCAUUCACGAACUCUAGUUGGAAGGAUGGGGUGGCCCCAUAAAUUAGCCACCUGAGUUUUGUAAAGUGGAGGGUUGGCAGAACUUUACCAUUGCGUGAUGUCAUAUGGACGAUGCUGUUCUGAUUAACUUCACCCUUAAUGUCAACUAAUAUAAAAUUGGAGCUAUUUUGGAAACAAACUGAUUGUGGGGUGUGCUUGCUUGUGUUAAGGCAUUUGUAAUUCGUCUAGCAUCUUACUUCCCUCCUAACAUUAAGGUCAAUUGAAUUUGAAGCUAAGAUAUACUUGAUUUUUUCCAUGGUCUUUAAGUUUAAAAAUUUUAAGUUUAUGUAAAUCACAUUGAAUUUAUAUUACAUCUUACUCAAAGUAAGAUAAAAUAAAUAUCACUAAUUUUUUAUAUUUUUUGCAGUAAGUAAUAUGAAUUCGUUUAAAAAGGUAUCUCAACAAUAUUUAUGCAGGUCUUUGUGACAAUAGUUUAGUGUUGGUGCAAUUCAUUUUUAUAUUAUAAAUUGAGCCAAAAUUUUAUAAGUUUCAGCACUACAGUAUUUCAAGCUGACUUAGUUUGAUAUGAUUGAUUUAUGAGUAACCACAAAUCAAAAACAUUCUUAUAUAUAUAUAUAUAUACAUAUUUAAGAAUGUGGGAAUAUGUAUGUAUAUAUAUAUAUAUAUAUAUAUAUAUACAAAUAUAUAAAGUGGGAAAACAUGAACAUGUUACUAGUUAUUUAUCACAACCCAGCUAUAUUUUUGUCAAAGUAACACACAAUUAAACACCUAUGAAUAUGCAGUCAAUGAUUAUUACCUUGGAUGCAUGCUAUUAAUAUGAUACUAUUAAAUUUACCAAUUUACUGCUAAUUUGGUCCAUGAGGGGGUCAAGAAUCCUUGGAUGCUAUUUGUAUGUUUCCAUAUUUGGGUCCUAAACAGACUAUAUGAAGUUGUGCUACAGCAAUCAUAUGCCCUUUCUUUACUAUUAAAAUACAUCUUAUUUAUCCACAAAUUGGAAUUAGUGUAAGUUAUAUUGAAACACAUCAUGAUCCAUUCAAACUGAUAAUUGAAUAAGAAUUUCAACUUUUUGGUGUCCUGUUUUCUCCAACCAAUUUGGACCCUGCUUCUGUGCUCAAACAGUAUUUCAUGUUAUGCUUGUGGAGUUGAUCACAUGUUUCUCAUGGACAAAUGCUACAUGCCACUGAGAUGGAAAAUAAAGAACCAUGUAAAUUAAGAAAAAGGAAAAAAUAAAAUAAUAGCACCUGCUGUGUAAUGUGAUUAUAAAUCUAACCUUCAAUUUGUACAAUUUAUUAUUUAAAAUAAUAAUAAUUGGAACCAAACUACAUGUGUGUGUCUGUAUAUAUCUACAUAUGUAUACAUACACAAACAUGCAUUUUUGGGUAGGGGCAGAUUUUCCAUUUACCUUGUACUAUCAUGUUUCCAAGUCAACGCAAAUGUCUCAUAGCUAUAACUUUUUCCCAUUGGACUUUCAACACUAGGACUUCAAAUUACUACUAUUAUUUUAAAGUUUAAAUCCACUUCUUUAUGUGUGAAGAUACCUACACAAAUGAAAGUCACAAAUGCAUGGAUGCACCACAGAAAUAGAGCAAACAGCAAGAUGAAGAGGAAAUGAUGUCUCUGCAGCUCUUGAGAUGUUGGGUUUGAACCCCAACACCAACAAUGGACACCAUUUUCCUUUCCUGACUUGUGGAUACUAGGUAUUCUUUAUCAUUCAAAAAAUAUAUAUCAUCUGUGUCCAUUGCCAUUGGGCUAUCAAGAUCAACAGGCAUGUCAAAAGGUUUUGAAGUUGCCCAGUGAUUGUUUGUUUGUUUGUUUGUUUUGUUCUGUUUUUCUUUGCUUGUUAAGUUGGAUAACUGGCUACCAGAGACAUUCAUACCUUCCUGGUUAGGAGUCCAAGAUUGGUUUCUCCCUAGACAACUGAAGCCAUGUUAGCUGUAUUUUAUUUCCUGGGCUUACUCAGCAUGAUAACCAUACAUUUUUUCUGUCAUACUGGGAAUUUGUACGUGUUAUUAUUGUGCUGUUUAAACAAAGUAUUUCUAUUUCCUCUUCUCUUCCCUUCCUUUCUCUUUGGGGGUGUUCUUGCAGACAUCUACCACUGGAGGUUGGAGCUACUGGAUGCAAGCAUACAGCCUCUGUUCAACUCCUGGGAACAUGUUCCCAAGUCAGAAAAGCUUACUUGGUGGUCAUUUGCCAAGCACAGUCCAACCAAUCCCCACUGUACUCCUGUGAACCUAAGCUGCAACAAAGUCUGCCAUUCAAGCAUAAAAUUUUCCCAUCCUCUGCUGAUCUCUCAAUGUGAACACUGCCCAUCAUGUGUCCAGCCUCAUGGGUUGUGUUACUUCGAGGUGGGGCCAUCAUCCUUAGUUACUGCUAGUGGUAGUCAAGCAGAGCAGCUUCAAAAUAGUGCACCUUUGACUUACAAAGGAGCCACCAGAAGGAUUUUCCAACAUGAAAGAUAAUUGGAAGUAUGAAGAAUGUCAUCUAUUCUUUUUAAGCAAAUCCCAAAAACCUUGAACAUAAAUUUUGUUUUAUUGUUUGUUUGUUCCUCCCCCUUUUGUCAGUACUUCCUACUUAUCAUUUAUAACAAGGAUCACAUCAUUCUCCAACUGAAAAAAAAUAAAAAUAAAUUAUAAUUGUUGGGGAAUGUUCUCUCGGUACCCAAUGAGUCCAAUUUAAAAGAAUAAUUCUGGCAGCACAGCCAGAUUAUCACCAUUUUCCGGCCAGCAAAUUCUCCAUGUAUUCCAUUCAAGCUUCUUCUAAGUGCUCAUCUGUCACCAUGUUGAGCUCCAGGUUGUGAUUCACUUGCUUUGAAUUAAGAAAUGCUGUGUGUGUCAUACAGACAAUUCAGUGGUUACUGCUUACAUAUGUGUAUAGGCUACUGUCCAGCAAGCAGUUCUGUUUGCAGAAAACUGAAAGUACUUUGUGUGCACCUCACAAAUGAAUGCUGUCUUUUCUAUUAGUUUUGGGUUCCAAACAUCUGUUAUCCUCCUAUCCAAACAGAAUUGUACCUGGCAGAGCAGACAUAUGCUUGGAAUUGGUUUGUAAUAGUAUCCAAGAAAGUUCUUCCUGACCUAAAGCUCUUUAUUCUCCAGUUGCCACGAGAGGAUGGAUGUUUCACCAUCCAGAGUGCCUGUAGCUCCACUUUUACCCAUGCACAUCCUGCACAAGAUUUGAAAGCUCAAAUUGGCAACCUCCCCCACAUGUGUUCCCCUCCCCCUUUGCAAGAAGAAAGGUAAAAACAGUGGGUAUAUGAAAUAUGGAAGAACAUCUGAACUUGGGUAAAUGAUCUGAAAAAAUAAAAAUAAAAUAAAAACUAGACCUCAAUGCAUUCUGUACACGUGGGAUAGGACAUGGAUGGCAAGGAAAGUGCUACAACACAAGGAAGAUAGAGAAAUUAGAUAGAACAAUAGAGUUAUACUUAGUGGGGUCACAAUCAAUCCCACCCACAAACUUAGUAAGGUUUUAUAACACUCCAUUAUCUGCCUGAAGAAUUGACUGGAAGACACUGGUAACAUCUAUUAUAGUUUUUUACUUUAAUAAGAAUAGGAGUAACCCCCAUGCAUUUCUAAAAAAGAAAAAAGGAAAAGAAAAGAAACAACAGAAGCAGUGCGUGGGCAAGGGGAAUUGGAUAGCAGUGCUAGUGUGAUGAACAAAUAGGAGAUUUUAAGUGAAAAUCUGACUAAAUUUCGAGUUCCCGACAGAACCUCCCCCAGUGUUCACAGUUGAAGAGGUUGGUGAAGAGAUACACGAGGUGACGCGUUCCAGCGCUGCGCACGGUCACGUUCCCACCAAGCCACAGUAUCCCACGUCUGCCCGAUCGUCGAACACGGAAAACCGGGACCAGGGGUGGACGGGACUGGGGAGAUGCCCGGGAGUGGAGUAACGACGAGCCCGGGUAUCGAGGAGCUGUUUGUUGUCAAAGCGAAGAGGUUGGCAAAGGCGCGGCGAACACGGAAUGUGGGGGGGGGGGGGGGGGGGGAGGGCAGGGCUGCUACUCGCGAAAACCUUGCGAGCCGGAUCGACCCAUCGCUGGAGAAUCGACUUGGUUAUGCGGUUUAGCACCGUUGUGCAGGAUUCUGGACGUGGACGAAGAUAAAACCAGGCUCAGGGGUGUCAGAAAAAACCCUGCUCUGAACUUUUUGCUUGACAUCCAGUGGUUGAUCUGUACCUCACGCCGGGAUCCAGACAGAUUGAGUCUCGUCUAGCGGUUAGUAGAGUACAAAAGAGCAGACGUUGCUUGAAACAGAAGCGUAAUUAGAUCUACAGACACAGAUACACUUACUCACUCACUUACACACACAUACUCCAGUGCUUAUUUGAGUGGGUCAAACACACGGUAGAGGUGCUGAGUGGAGUGUGCGCCGCUGAGGGUCUGAUAGAACCUGAGUGCAACAGCUGCAUUGUACCAUUAGCUCACCCGAACCCCGUCAGUGAAGCUGAUUGUGAGGUUGCACACUUGGUAGUCUCCAAGUUGUGCUCGGGUAGGCAGAAACUGUAAGGUUAUCAUAAGUCAUUUGUACUAUGUUGCAGUACUGCGUGGUGCUCAGUUUUCGCUAUUCCAACUCUCGACAAGUUGAUGACACAAGCAGCAAUAGCUGGAAUUGCAAUAUAGUAGCUUUCUUCGACGCUAUUAGUUGAAUGUGAUUCUAGUCACGUUCUUCGUGUCACUGUGGACCUUGGCUAGAUUCCGUGGAACUUGUGCUGGCUUCUACUCAUGUAGGAAAGCCUCGGUGUUUUCUGCCACCAAUGGCCGAAAAAGAAAGAUAUAGACAAUGUUGAAGACCAUCUAGAUGAUUAGAAAAACAAUUGAACUCAAGUACUUUGAAACUAAGAGUCUCAACAUUUUUUGCAAAUUCUGAGUCUGCCUUGUAGCAAUAUUCUUUGGUAGAUCUCCCCUUCUCUGGAGGUGAACGAUUUCCCUUCAGUCCUGUGUGGAGAUCUCGCUCUGCGAGAUUUUAAUUGAAACAUUUAGAAAAAUAGCACCUCUAUAAUGGCCGUGGCAGCUCAAUCUCUGUCUCUUUACAGCGACACUGGCCUCUUUUCUCAGGUGGCGCCUGUGUCCAACCCCACUCUCAUGCUUAACGACAAUGGGACAGUUUCUUAUGGAUCUGCGACGCUGUCUAGUGCUAGCGGACAAUCCCUGCUAUCAAACUUUGCAGACGGCUUCAGUUUCGGCAACUCCAGCUGGUCGGACACGCCAUACACACCGUACUCAUCCAUCAGCUCCUUCAAUUUUCCAAAUUUUCCAGAAUCUUCGAGUUCGGAGGUGCUGUGCUCAUCCGAAGACCACUCUCCUGACCUUCUCCUGAUGGGUAGCCACUCCGACUUCAUGAGCCAGAUCAAUGUAGCACCCCCCAGCUUGGUUAGCACUCCGGCGGUCAUGCACCCCAAAUUGGUCAGCACUUUAAAAAACAUGGUAGCGCCGGAGCCAGCCUCACCGCGACACAGCUCUUCUCAAUAUUCUUACUAUUUCUUCGACCAGCAGCUGACGUCCCAACAGCAGGCAGCUAACUCGCAGCAUCAAAAUGAUGCGGCGGCGCACAAUCCCUUGUUGCAUUUUCAUCAUUCGGCGGAUCUCAAGCCCACCGUCGAUGUGUCCAGUAGUGUCAGUGAGUGUUCCCAAGCUAUCCCACCAACGUGCUCACAAUCUUUGAAGGUAUUUUCCUCUUUCAUUUCUUGGUAGAUGGUUUCGUUUCUACGCUCGCUAGCAUUUGGGUUUCACUGGAAUAUCAUGUUUAUCAACACAAUCUGCAUGUUUACUUUGUCCUUAUGAGACCCUCGCACAUGUGACUCUAGGUUGAGAAGUCAGAGUCAGAGGACAUUAUCGAGGCGGCAGUGGUAUCCGUAGACGUGAUUCAGAACCGACGCCCUUUCCGAUGUCAGCAUGAAGGGUGUAACAAAACCUUCAAGAACCCACAAACCAUGAAGAUGCACCACAAGACGCAUUACACGGACAAUACCUUCAAAGCGGGUCAACAGCCCUUGCCCACUCUGAGCAACUCUCUCAAGGCUGGGCACAACAAGAAGAUCCCUUCUCGAUGUCCUAAAUGCAAGAAGACUUUCGUGGGUCUCUACGAGCUCCGCAGGCAUUACGGCCGUAAGCACUCCGAAGGCGAGAAGCCUCACGGCUGCCGAAAGUGUGGCAAGCGAUUCUACAUUGAGGUAAACAACUUCAUCUUUACUAACAUAUCCGAAGCCAAUAUCCUUUUUCGCCUAUUCAUCAUACUGAUCACGUACAUUACCUUGACCAAAACAUGAUUACUGAAUUUGUCCUUCUUUGGCUGGUUUAGGUGGAUGUCCGAGACCAUGAGAAGCUGUGCGGUGAGCCAAUUGAGUGCAAGUGUGGUCUCAAAUUCGCCUUCAAAUGUAACUUGGUGGCGCACAAGAAAGCUCACCCGGCAUGUCAGGAUGCCCAGACCAGCCUAUCGACCUCGUCGACGACUUCAGGAGGCGCUAGCUCGAUGAUCAACCAGUCACCGUCUUCCUCCAGCGACUCUGACCAGAGCCCCGGCGGAAUCAACUCCCCACCUUCUGGCCGUGGAACCAAAAGACCUCGCGAGGAGAGUAUUAAUCCUGAAAAUUCCUUUCACAGUACCCCACUUCCGGAGCUGAAAGACAUUCCCGAGGCGCCCCAGUUCAAGUGCGCCCGCCAUGGCUACUCCGGCAGCCUUCCCUUCUCCAGCGAGACCAACAGUUCUUGGAUGUCCCUCCCCAGCAUCUCUCAUUAUCCAGAGGUCCCCACCUUCUCGCACUUCAACCCCAUGUCCACGGCGUCACUCUUUCCGUCCCCGCAACAGAAGCCGUCGGGUUUCUCAUUCAAGCUGCGAGAACCGAUGUCUUUUGAUCAGAGCUAUCCCGGCUCAGUUGCAGGUUUGGAGAUGGGGAUUUUAAAUCAGUUAGAUUCUUCCACCAAUUCUUCCCUUCAAAGCAUGGUCCGGCUUACCUGAAGGUUAUGAUCAAUGUAUUCCUUUCUUCUGCUGGGUUCCUCACAAAGCCAGUGCGCAGCGAGUAGUCCAUGUCUUGUAAUUUUCCAGUCGGAAGUGUUUUCCGUGGAAUCUCAUAGACUUUGACCACGCCUCCCAUCACGUGUGGUCAAUGUCUAUGAGAGAUACGAGCUAACUGUGGAGUCUGAGCACUGAAGAGGUGAAGGAGUACCGUGGUACGGCACAAGGAUGUCUUAAUAUAUUCUUAGGAAAUCCGACAAAAAUUGUAAAUCUUUCCACCGUACGGGGUAGGUUGAAGGUGGAAUGAAAAUAAUACUAGGUCUGAGCUGCAUACAAGGGAUGAUAGGUAUUUAACUCUGUCUACUGCACCCACACAUGAUUAAUUCUUUUGAUGGGUAUUCAAUUCAAGAUUCAAUAAAUUUCCUCUGAAUGACGAAAUUCUUCAAAUCGGUCUUUGCACACGUGAACAGUAACUAGUCAUUGAAUCUAAUAUAGUUCAUGCUAGUGUCCAGAGUUCCCGACGUCCGUUCUUGUUGGCACUACUGUGCAAUUCAUGGACAAUGAAAGUGGCAGUCAUGAAGAGGCCUAAUCCCUCGUUCUGAAGAUGCGUUAUCACAGCAGUUUUGAACUGUAAUGUUUCUGACGCUGUAAGUGACGACGAGGGACUCCGAUACGGCUGUGAGGACAACCAGUUGCUAGUCGUGCUUGAUCCUUGGACAAGCUUCCAGUGUGUGACGGACAUGAAAGGGGCAAUGACACUGUAACGGGGCAGCCUCCGUAAACUUAUCCUCAGUUGCAGGCGCCGACACAUGGGGUUGUUUUUAGAGUUGAAAGGAGGCACAUGAGUUAUUAUUCAAUACACACAUGGUAGGCACAUGGAAAUUAAGCAACCAUUAUUCGAACUGGGCAUUGAGGUCAAUAUGGGAGUUCCAUAUGCAGAAGCAGAACUUUAUUGAUUUAAGUUCCUUUGCUUUUGACAUGAGAAUGAAAAGCUUUAUAGCCCCGACUAUCAGCAGUGGGUUUCCAGUAAGUGAUUCUUCUAGGGCUAUUGUACUGAUGGUGCACGGUUAGGAAUGCGCUGACCUCUGUUUGAAGAUCAGAAACAUGUAAUUACCUGAAUCUUCCGAAAUAUCUAGGUCCCAUCUAUCUUACUAUGACGGGUUCACUAUGACGUCUCCAUCCAGAACCAUUAGAAGGCAUGAUGUUCAAUUGCUCAAUCAGUCGUUUGAUGCGAUUCCGUGCCGUUACACACAAAUCUUCCACACACGUUUGUUCCACAUUCCUGUGAUGGCUGCGAUGGUGCGAGUGACUCAUCAAAUGAGAUAUGACGGAGACAACAUUCUAAAGAUGUUGAUUUGAAUGACUGGAUAAACCUUCCGAAAAUCUGAUUGCGUUGUUUUCAAGGGUGGUUUUUCAAUAAGAUAAUUCAAGCAUAAGAGUGAAUAGGUUAACACAUCUUCUAGUGCUUGACAAAUUUGACCUCAACUACAAAAAAAAAAUAUAUGGUGAUGAAUAUCCGUCUUCCAUGGGAUUACAUGAUGUGCCACAUGGGUUUUCCACUAUUGAAGGCACGGGUGUAGGAAGUGGGAUGUAUUCAUGCGUUUCCCAUUUCCUUCGGAAGUCGUGCAUAUUUAACUACUAAUUACGUGAGGGUUAGAACAAAUAGCGAGCAUAAAUCACCACGCGAUUUUUUUUUUUUUUUUUUUUUUUUUUUUUUUUUCUUUUCUUCUUCCUAUGUAAUGCCAAUUUGGAAAUUAAAGUUUCCGAUUUAGGGACCAUUUUAGAAAAUAUCCAUAACUUUGACAAUGCAAUUCGGGAAAUACGCGUAGUCUAUAUAAAGCACCUACAUUUUUGCAGUUGUGAUUACACCAAACCACUUAACAGAUGCAGGGGAAAAUCCUGAAGUAACAAUGUCGAAAUCAGCUGUUAAAUGAGGAGACUCUUUUCUACAGAUUCACAGUUUGUCAACCGCAACAUAGCUAUUCUGAGUCUUGAAAGAAACCCAUAUAGCCAUUCCUAAAAAAUGUUCCGAAGAAACUGAAAUAAGAUUCUUGAGAAAGAAAACUCAGAUUUUCAUCCUACUAAAGAUGAGCCAACUCUAAUGAACAGCCACCCAGGUUUGAGGAGCGCUACAUGCCAGGGCCACCGGGCAUGCCACCGCCCAUGCCGGGUGGCAUACCGAUACUUUCUGCUAGGUUCUUCAUACGAUCCUUCAUAGCCUGCACAAUAUAGUUCCAGGUUGAGAAGAAAUUCAUUGUAACGAAUAUACAAUGCAGGUUACCAUUCAAAGACCGUCUCUACGAUGUUCAAACACCAAGAAUAAAGACACAUCACUUGUGAACAGCUGUUCAAUCAGUCCACAACGCUCAUAGUUGCUCAUCAUUGGCUUGAAAGGUGCAAUUGGGCAAUCGCAGUGCUUGCGCAAUGUAGGCAUAAGCACUGCAGCCCUGAGCAUUCUGAAUUAAUAUAAAGCAGUAUGUGCUAAAAAUAUGUGGCCUAAUAGUUUUACAAGGCCAAGAGAGGCUUCUACAACUUCCAGUAAAAUGAUGGAAUCUUGGUACACCGUGUAUUACAGAUGAAAACUUUCUUACCGCAACACUCUUUGUGUGAGCAUCUUUGUAUGCUUGGGUCACCAUUGCCGACAGAGCCUGCACAAACAGGGAAUCGUGCACAAAUCAGUUUUGUUCUUGAAAAAACCGCUGGAGAUCCGAUAUUGGACAAGGAUCCAUAUUGAUUUCAAAGCCAGGUGCAAUUCAACUGUUCCUUUCAUAAAAUGGAGAAGUUACUUACUUCAGGGCCCUUCUCCAAGGCGAUUUCUGUGAUCUCAAUCCUAACAGGCUCCUGGUUGCCUGUUAAGGUCGCCUUCACAAGCUCCUCGUCACAAUAACCAUCGAACUCCGCACUGUAAACAUGCAGAAAAUGAGUUAGCUACUUGACAGAGUAUACUUAACAUGUCACACACGUAUAUCGGAACAUAAGCAAACCCAAUUAUUUCAUACAUAGAGAAAGCAGAAGUGGUUGUUAAUUGUUACAUGCCCUUAAAUAACUGGGUUUGUUUGGAGACGAAGGUAUCUCAUAGGAAUUCGUAGGGUGCUUGGUGAGCAAAAGAGGUUUAUUGACAUGAAUUACCGUGACUCAUCUAUCCCUCAGUAAUCUACGCGUCAAGCAUCAACCAGUUACUGUUAACACGAAUAAGCCAGCCGUGGAUGUUUGGGGACCAGUAUCACAUGUGAAGCUGGUUAUUCCUAGUUUUGACGCUAGUUUGUGCUCCGAUGAACAUUCAUUAUUGGAACGGCUUGUUUUACCUUCCGUUAAUAAUUGUUUAAAGAUACACAAUCAAACUUAGUCCUUCAGGGUGUUCAAAUGUCACCCAACAAUAAUCUCAUGUGAUUGAGGAUUUAGGCAGAUGUGAGGAUAAAAGGAUAUCACAACGGGAAGAAAAUAGCUUGUUUCUAAUACACUUCUCCCUCGAAAAAUCACCUUAUUAAAUCUACGGUUGCCGAGGUCCGGAGUCAAGCGAAAUACUGAGUUAUUGGAAAAUCAUUUAGUUCCCCUAAAAUUUAUAAGCUAUUUCACAGAGUACUAAAGAUAAAGUACUUACGCAGCAAGCUCUUUUUGAACUUUGGCAGCUUCAACUUGCACCACCUGUUGAGCCUUCUUCACCGUGUCAUACAGAUUCUGCAUGUUUCCUAAAGCCCCUAACAUAUUUCCCAUUCCACCCUAUUGCAGUACAGAGUGUUGAAAAUAUCAGUACCUCGUUAAUAAAACCAAAUGAUUCGCAGAGAAAUUCCAGAAGCCGCGCCUUCAGAUCUCUGAAAUGCAGAGACCUAGCAAGAAGAAGAAAUACUACAUAUUUUACUACGAAACUAAUCUCAAGGCAUUUAGAAACUGCAAAUUCGAAACAAAUCUGACAGCCAAGUCGGUGAGUUAGAAUCUGAAUACUUAAGGAUUUCAGAAGUGUGCACUAUUAGCAUCUCAAUUGAAUCUAGUAGUCUUUUAUCGAGGUGGUAACAAAUCGUAGGGCAAAAAAGAAUAAAAUGUAAACAAGUUUACGGGGAUCCAACCUGAAGUAUUCAGAAAAUUCAUAAAAACAAAAAAUCCAGAAAUCAACGGUACGAAGCUAUAAUACCUCACCGCUUGUGAGGCUAAUACUAGCGGAAAGGUCUGAAUCUUAAAAUUUAUGGAAAGGAUAGCUACAUGUACUUUAAAAUUCACCUUCUUAUUAGUGUCGGCCGGAUUCUGGUCUUUGUUACCUCCCCACAAGCUGGUAAUACUCAAAGGACGCUGAGCACAGCUUAGUUGCUCAUUACUCUUCUUCACAAAGACACUAGUCACCCUAGAACCUGUACAUGAAAAAUCAGGCCUUCAGUCACGAUCUCAAUCAAUAAUACUCCACUCUUUGCAAACUCUCCUGACCAAAUAAACCUAUUGAAAAUUGGCCACCGAAAAAAAGACUGUGUACAUAAGAUGCCGAAUAAACAGAGGAGUAAAGCAUCUCCUCAGCACACUUGCUCCUGAUCACAACACAGUAAGGACUGUGAUCACUGAACGUUAGUUCAUGUUCUAUUAGGAUUGUAGACCCUUCUGGAUAUUGGAUUGCAGAGAAGUCAAUGCAUUUUUAUGAUAGCCUUUCGCAAACUUAACCGGAACAAAUUGUGGAGAACAAGUAACAAUCCCGAAUUGAUUACUGGUAUUUGAAAUCCGAGUAGCAUACCUACUGAAGCAUGCAAAGUCUAUAUCUUAACAUAUACCUAAACGUUUUAUCAUUAACAUAAAUUUCAGAAAGCGCUUAAUUAAGACCGACAAUGAGGGCACUAAUCGAGAUGGCUACAAGGGGAUUUGUGACUUCGGUACAGGUGAAAAUUCAGGGUGCCCUAGUAACCAUUCGACACAAUAAAAAAAAAAAUCAUAAGCUAGAUGAUCUCGAAACAAAAUUAUCAUAAAUGAAGAGUAAAAUUGGACGACGAAUUCAAAAUCAAGCAAAUAAGCUGCAUUCAUCUUCUGGUGUAUAGCCCUCCCAAAACGUGAAAGAAACAAACCGUCAGAAAUGAUUGCAUACGAUAGAGGAAUGCCAUCCCAACUUCCCAGACCCUCUGAGACUCCAUCCAACUGCAACCAUGAAUCUCGAAAAAAGUAACAACAGUUACGGGAAACAAUCUCGUGUAGCUCACCUACAAAAGUAAAGAACACCUCAACGCAAUAAAAACAACAACAGCUACAGUCUGCACACAACCAGGCUGCCAAGCACAAAAUGCCUACACCGAAACAGCCGGAAUUGGAUUACAAAACGAACAUUCAGCAAACGAAAACCGCACGUAAAGCGUUCCGGUUCAAAGCUUCUCUUCUCCAACCCUACAGAACCUAUUUCACCUUGGCCACUCCGGAAGUUCACAUUGUAGUCUGGUUUCGACGUCCACACAACUGGCAUUCAAGCACGCAACCAAGAAAAAUGCUCGCUCAGCUCCGAUUCCGACUCAUUCAGCAAGACAUAUUCAAUUCGAGACGUGGUUUUACCGAAGGUGGACGGCGACGAGGAAGCGGCCGAUUGGUUCAGCUGCUGCUGCUGCAAGGGCGCAACUCCCACGACCGCCACGGUCGCGCACGCCAUAGCUACCUCGCUUCGCUCACUCGCUCGCCUGGAGGUUUCCUAUCCCGUGGAGGCAACGGCUGCUGCAAACGCGAGAGACAGAGACGAUGGCUAUGGCGGCACUGAAUCUCUAGCCGCGCUGCGAAAACUGGAUUCCUUACAAGACCUCCGUCGCGCACAAUAGCAAUAAGCGGGAGGGAUAAGGUUUUACGGUAUUUGUACUCAUAUCCAAUUAUACGUACAUUUGUCGUAUGAUUGCAGGGCGAUGUGUGUGUGUGACAAAUGGCGGUCGGCUUUUGAAUUUGAGAGGGGGAUAUCUCGUGGUGUUCUCUCAAAAGCUCAGAAUAUCUUCUGACCUUAACGUCAAAGAAGCACUUUACCCCUUGCUCUUAUAAGUUUUUACAUGUUUAUUUAAAAAGCUUUUAUUUUUCUAGUUUUGUUAGUUUUUAGCUUCCUUGUGGAUCUAAUCUUAUGCUUCAUAAAAUAUGUGGUUGGUUAAAUGAGAAUUAAUUUAGGUCAUGUUUUCAUGACUUGAUAUUUUUUAUGUUUUUAUAUAUAUUCAACAUAAAGUUCUAUAAGUGCUCUUUAAGUCAAUGAUUUUACACAAAUUAAUUGAAAACCUUAAAUCCUAUGAGGUGUGAAUCUUCCAAUACAAAACAAAUAUAUUCUAAUGAAUAUAGUUGACAUAUAUAAUUGUGCUAUAGGAUACUACUUUUUUAACAUGUACUAUUUUUCUAACAUCCAAAGAUUCUUGGCCCAAUAUAGAUGUAUUUUUAUAUUUUUGAUGUAUGAAACAAGCUUGCAAAAAAUUCAAGAUAUUAAGACAAGAGUGAUAAGUGUUAAAUAUUAUUACAAGUUUUUGUAUGUGACAAAGUUUGUUAUAUAUUUGAUAGUUUCUAACAACCACUUUAACAUAUUAAUACUACAAAUUUUAUUAAACAAAGUAAAGUACUACUAUGGUUUAGCAAGGUGUUUUUAUUUAAAUUAUUUCUACUUCUUAAAUAUAUUUUGGUAGAAUAUUUUAUUAAAUUUAUUAUAAAGAUAAUAAAUAAAAAACAAAUAAAUAAAUAAAUAAAUAAAACAUCUCUCAUAUUAGAUAAGAUAUUAGAUUUUUUAUUGAGUCUUUUUAUAGUAAAAUUUAAUAUAGAAUAAAAUAACUUAAAAGAAUAUUAAAAAAAUAUAAUAUGACUCAUUUGUGAAUUCUUUGGUCAUUUUAUUAACUAAUAUAACUAUAUAAAUUUUGUUAAGAAAUAUCUACAUAAUUUGAUCAAAAGUUGACUAAUUCUUCAUCUAUUUGUGUAUCACUUUUUAUGUAGAUAAUAUUUAUUCUUGUGAAGUAGAGAAUCUUACUUUUAUUAACAUAACUACAAAUGAAGAACAAAAAAUGCUUGCAAAGGGUGGAAAUGAUACAUUCAAGAUAUUGAAAGAAACUAAAAGUUAUUCACUUUGAUUUUUGUUUGUUACCAUAUUAAUUUAUGUUAUUUUAUAUUCAAUAUUGGUAUUUUCAAGAUUGACUAAUAUAAUUACAUUAUACUUUUAAGUUAUCUUGGAUGGAUUCUAUUUACAUAUACUUUUCUAUUGACAUGUAUUCCUUGUAUAUUUUUUUAAAUUUUUUAUGUAUUAGAGAUUAUUUCUCAAUUUUUGUUUAAAUUCAAAUUAUAUCUUUUGAUGAUGCUUGAAAAAAAUAUAUUUUAAUUGAUUCUACAUAUUAAUAAAUAUUUGAUUUUUUUGACCAAUUUUGUGUUGCUAUUUGAUUUUAAUUUGACUUUUGAAUUUAGGUGGAGGCAUGCCUCUAGUGCUAGAGAUGUCCUUUGUAUUACAUUUUUUAAUUGAAACACUUCUUAAUAGCACUUUAUGACAACCAAUCACAAAGAAAAUCUUCUUUUUUGUUGUAACAAUAUGUCAUACAUAGAAAAUUGAAGGAUGUACAAAGAUCAAGAAGUACAAGUAAGCAAAUGAGAGCAUAUGUAGCAUGUAGUUGGAAUAUAAGCUACAAGUAGAUGUGUUGAGGUAAAAAAUAAAGAUGAAUAGAUAAUAGUUAAAGUAGAAUAAGUUACCUUGUAAAGGAUAUUACCUUAGGUAAGUUGCUAAUGGUCAAAGGCUUGACUCUUGGCAUAUAGAAAAAGCAUCCUAUGGACAUAGGAUGCAGUGAAGGACAAAGAGUCAAAGUCAAGAGGAUAAAGUGUGUCCUAGAGAAUAUCUAAAGAACUAGGUAAGAGUAAUUAGUAUAUGGCAUAGGAUACCCUCGUGGUAUGUAAGAUGCUAUAGGAUCCUUGGAUACCCUCGUGGUAUGAGCCAAAGGAUCCAAGGAACAUAUGUGUAAAAGUCAAAUGGUGGAAGAAGUCCUUUUAGGGCAGCAACCACCACCUAUAAGUAACGAGAGUUGGAAGAGAGAACCAUCUCAUUCCACACUUCUCUUAUGUGCAACAUUGCUGAUUUCUACUACUUGUGUUAGCUUAUAGGUUCUUUCUCAUAGCUAUGGGGUCCUCUGAUCGCUGCAGGAGCAGCUGCCUGCCUCUACUCUGGCGGGUGUGGUCUUUGUUACUUUUGUGUGAAUUAGAUCUUAUGAUAUUUGUUGAUGUUAAGUUUGUUGGUAUAAGGGUGCUAUUGGUAUUAAGCUUGUACAACUCUAACAUUGCUUUGUGGGUUCUUAUCUCCUUGCUUUGUGAGAAUAAGACUUUGUAGAAAGGCCUUGAUAGUGUCUUUUGAGUUGGUGAAGUUUCUUCAUUAUUCUUGAGUGUUUUGAUGAGAAAGUGAUUAAGACGAGUGAUUGUGAGUUCCAUGAGGGUGCAAUUACUUGUAGAAAGCUUCACAAGUUGAGUUGAAAGUGUUUUCAGUGAGAUACCACUCUUUUGUUCAUAACAGGGCAUUUUAAGAUUCUGCUAGUGCAAACUUUGUUUGGUGAUUUUAAGCUUUUAGAGACUCCUUUUCUCAACAUUUUUUUAAUACACUCCUCCUUAGACAUGGCUUCUAGUGAGGGUGAAGGUUUGAGAGUGAUUGAGAAGUUUAGAAGCAACAAUUUCUACCAUUGGAAGGUCAAAAUGGAGCUUUUGUUGGCGUCUUUGGACCUUUGGGAUAUUAUAGAUGAGAGUGAAGACCCUCCAAGCAUAGAUGCAAGCCCUAAGGACCACAAGGACUUCAAAAGACAUGAAAAGAAGGCUUUUGGCAUAAUUGCCACCAAUUUGGAUGAAGCCAACUUUUCUUAUAUUAUCCAUUGCAAAGGACCAGCGGAAGCAUGGAAGAUACUUUGCAACAUAUAUGAGAGCAAGAACUUGUCCAACAUCCUCUUCACAAGAAGGAAAUUCUUCACUUGUAAGAUGGAAGAAGGUGAAGACCUCAUGGCACAUGUUAAUAAAGUAAAGGCCCUUGCAAAUCAACUAGCAAUUGUUGAUAAGCCUUUAGAGGAUGGUGACAUUGUCAUGACUCUACUCAUGAGUCUUCCCGAGUCCUACAACUACCUCAUUGUGGCAUUGGAAUCUUUGAGGUCGAAGGAGCUUACAAUGGACUAUGUGACAUCAAGACUUGCACAUGAAGUAACUAAAAGGAAAGAGAAGGAGCAUCAAAGUGAAGAUUCAGCUCUCUUCUCAAGACAAGGCAAAGGUACCUAUUCCAACCAAUAUGACAAUGUGAGAAGCAAUGCAAGAACUUGCUUCAUUUGUGGAAAACUGGGUCAUUUUGCACGAAAUUGCUACAAGGCCAAGAAAGGAGAUAGAGAAAAUGCUAACAAUGCAUGUGAUGAAGUUGGUGGAGAUGAUUAUGCAUUCAUGGCAAGUGAAGGCACGUCUAUGGCUGCCAUGUCCAAAUGGAUCAUUGAUUCGGGUGCUCCAAGCACAUGACUCCAUACAAGUGUUCAUUUGACACUUAUGAGACUAUUCCAACAACAAAAGUAUGGUUAGGAGAUAAUGGCAUGGUGCAAGCCAUUGGAAUUGACUCCAUUGUGGUGGAGAUUGUUGUGAAGAAUCAAAUGAAGAAGAUCAGAUUGAAAGAAGUGUUACAUGUGCCAAAGAUGAAGAAGAACCUUCUUUCGGUGAGUAAACUUGUUUCUCAUGGUUGUAAGGUGCAAUUUGAUAUGAAUGGAUGCUUUGUGAAGACAAUGGAUGGAGAUAAUCUUUUGAAAGGCUUUAGAGAUGGCAAUCUCUACUUCAUCAAUUGUAAGAAGGUGAAUGGAGUUGAAGUGGCGGUAUUUGCUGAAUUUCCACAAGAUCAAGACAAGUUUGGCAUUUAGCAUCGACGCCUUGGUCAUUUAAAUGCCAAAAGUAUGAAGGAGCUCCAAUCCAUGGUUAGUAGCUUAGAUCUUGGUCAAUCAUGCACAAAUCUUACUUGUAAAGGUUGUAUUCAAGGCAAACAACAAAGAGCUUCAUUUCCAAGUGGAGUUGCAACACGUGCAACCAAAUUGUUGGAGAUUGUGCAUUCUGAUGUUUGUGGACCUAUGAAGACACCAUCAAUGGCAGGAUCAAGUUACUUUGUUACAUUUAUUGAUGACUUUUCAAGGAAGGUGUGGAUUUUCAUCCUUAAAUCCAAGAGUGAAUGCUUUUCAAAGUUUAAGGAAUUUAAGGCACUUGUGGAGAAGCAAUGUGAGUGCAAGAUCAAGAUGUUGCAUAUAGACAAUGGAGGUGAGUAUUUGUCAAAGUAUUUUGAUGAGUAUUUGAAGAUUCAUGGUAUUGCAAGAUAAACUUCCACUCCCUAUACUCCACAUUAAAAUGGAGUUGCUGAAAGAGAAAAUUGAACUAUUGUGGAGAUGGCAAGGAGUAUGAUUCAUGCUCAAAACCUUGGGCAUGAAUUUUGGGCGGAAGCUGUGGUGAAUGCAGUAUAUACAAGGAAUAGGUGUCAUUCAAAUGCACUUACAUCAAUGACUCCACAAGAAGCUUGGAGUGGGAGGAAACCUUGUGUUUCACACAUGAGGACUUUUGGAUGCAUUGCUUAUGCAAAGGUACCAGAUUGUAUGUGGUCCAAAUUUGAUACAAAAGGUACAAAAUGUGUGUUUCUUGGAUAUUGUGAAGGUACCAAGGCAUAUAGGCUAAUGUGUUUGGAUACCAAGAAGAUCAUCAAAAGUCGUGAUGUUGAAUUUAUGGAGCAUAAAAGUGCUUGUGAGCACUUGGAGAUGUGUCCAAGUGGGAGUAAUGGUGUGUUUGUGGACACAUCUUCAAUUUCAGCAACGAAAGAAGAAGAAGAAGAUGAAGACAAUGAAGAUAGUAGAGAUUUGAAUCAACAUGAAGAACCAAAGAAGAUGAAGAAGAAGAAGAAGAAAGUGUAUACAAUUGAGAUGACAAACAAUGAAGAAGUUGAAGAUGAUGAUGAUGAUGAGGAAUACCAACCUUUGAGUGAGAAGAGACAAGGUUCAAAAGAAAAGAAGGUUGGAGAGUAUCAAGGUGAAUCUUCUUCAAAUGAUAGGAGAUAUCCUACAAGAGAAAGAAAACAACAUGGUGAAUGGUGGAAGGACCACAUCUUUCCUCAAGUAAGUGAAGAACAUGUCAAUGUUGCACUCCUUGCUGAUCCAUUGAAUAUAUGUGAUGCUAUGAAGUCUACGAAUGUGUUGAAGUAGGAGGAGGCUAUGGAAGAAGAGUACAAAUCUCUCAUGAGCAAUGGAAUAUGGAAAUUGACUCAACUUCCACCAAAUUGAUCUUCAAUUGGUUGUAAGUGGGUGUUUAGAACCAAGAGGGAUACAAUGGGUGAUAUUGUGAGAUAUAAGGUAAGGCUAGUUGCCAAAGGAUACUCACAAGUUGCUGGUGUUGAUUUCAAUGAGACAUUUGCUCCCGUGGCUAAGUUCACCACGAUUAGAACCAUUGUGGCAAUUGGGGCAACAAUGGACUUGGAGAUGCAUCAAAUGGAUGUGAAGACAGCUUUCUUGAAUGGAGAGUUGGAAGAAGACAUCUACAUGGAUCAACCUCAAGGAUUUGUAGAAGAAGGCAAGCAACAUCUUGUUUGUAAGUUGAAGGAAUCCUUGUAUGGACUCAAGUAAUCUCCAAGGACAUGGUAUCAAAGAAUUGAUACAUUCUUUAUUAAUGAGGGAUUCCAAAGAAGUGAGGCUGACCAUUCUAUGUAUGUGAUACAAUCAAAAGAGUUCUUGAUGAUUGUUAUCCUUUAUGUAGAUGAUUUAAUCAUCUUAACCAAUACUUUAAAGAUGAUGGAUUGGUUGAAGGCAAAGUUAGAAAAGGAAUAUGAGAUUUGAGAGAGCUUCACUAUUGCUUAGGAGUAGAAUUUGCAAGAGAUCGUGCUAACAAGACCAUCACAAUGAGCCAAAGGAAGUACAUUGAAGGAGUGUUGAAACGAUUCAACAUGGAAGAUUGUAAGCCUAUUGAAACACCUUUGGAGUCCAAUUUGAAGUUGAUGAAGCUCACGGAUGAAGAGUUUGCACAAGUUGAAGGCCAAAUGCAAGGUGUUCCAUACAAGGCAGCAGUUGGGUCACUCAUGUAUGCAAUGGUUGGUACAAGGGUGGAUCUUGCUUAUGCGGUGAGUGUCAUAAGUCAACACCUGUCAAAAGCAGAACCAAUUCAUUGGGCAACCAUCAAGAGGAUCAUGAGGUACUUGAAAGGCACUUUGGACUUCAAAUUGUGUCUUGGAGAUGAAAGUAUUGCUUUGCAUGGUUAUUGUGAUGCGGAUUGGGCUGAAGAUGCAAAUGAUAGGCGGUCAACAAUUGGUUAUGUAUUCUUUGUUGGAGUGGGAACAAUUUCAUGGAAUUGUAAGAGGCAACCCACAAUUGCAAGGUCCACAAUGGAGGCGGAGUACAUGGCAGCAAGCCAGGAUGCAAUGGAAGCAACAUGGUUAAGGCAAGUUUUGGAAGACAUUGGACUUGUGCAAUUGGAAGCAAUUCCAUUGAAUUGUGACAAUCAAGGAUGCCUUGCUUUUGCAAAGAAUCCAAAGCAUCAUUCAAGAACCAAGCACAUUGACAUUCAACAUCACUUUAUAAGAGAGAAGAUUGAAAUGGGAGUGAUUGACUUGAAGUAUUGUGCAACAGAAGAUAUGCUUGCUGAUUUGUUAACAAAGGCAUUGGUCAAAGAUAGACAUCAUAUGUUGACAAAGGCAUUAGGUUUGAAGGGCUUUGACAAUAAGCAAAAUGGGAGUGUUGAGGUAAAAGAUAAAGAUGAAUAGAUAAUAGUUAAAGUAGAAUAAGUUACCUCGUAAAGGAUAUUACGUUAGGUAAGUUGCUAAUGGUCAAAGGCUUGACUCUUGGCAUAUAGAAAAAGUAUCCUAUGGACAUAGGAUGCAGUGAAAGACAAAGAGUCAAAGUCAAGAGGAUAAAGUGUGUCCUAGGGAAUAUCCAAAGAAUUAGGUAAGAGUAAUUAGUAUAUGGCAUAGGAUACCCUAGUGGUAUGUAAGAUGCCAUAGGAUCCUUGGAUACCCUCGUGGUAUGAGCCAAAGGAUCUAAGGAACAUAUGUGUAAAAGUCAAAUGGUGGAAGAAGUCAUUUUAGGGCAGCAACCACCACCUAUAAGUAACGAGAGUUGGAAGAGAGAACCAUCUCAUUCCACACUUCUCUUAUGUGCAACCUUGCUGAUUUCUACUUACUUGUGUUAUGCUUAUAGUGUUCUUUUCUCAAUAAGAUGAAUGCAUAUAUAGUGUAUAAGAUAGAUGCCAUUCAUUUUGGCACUGAGAAUUUUAGAGUAUUUUAGAAGCUAUAUUGGUUGAUUAAAUCUUUCAAAAUAAAUUUAUAUAAUAAUCAAUUAAAAAAUCCAUGCCAUGUAAUAAAAAAAAUUACCUGAUCAUAUCUAUCUUGAGCAAGUAUAUCUAGCAUUUGAUAUUUUGUUCUCAAAUCAAAGUUUUUCUUCAUAAAUAAUAUUCAGAUGUAUUUUCUUACAUCCAUCUUAUUCAUUUUUAAUGCAAGAGGCUUCAAAAAGAUGUUCUUUUAUAACAAAUAUUUAUUUUUUUGAUACAAUGCAGAAUGAAGAGAUCAUGAGAAGGUUUUUUUUAAUAAAUAAAAAUGAAAAUGCAAAUGAAAGAGAUUUAGGAGUAGAUUUUGUGUAUUUAUUAUCAUAAAGCUUUCAAAAAAUAAUUGCAAUAAUACAAGUAUUAUAAACAAUCUAUGCAUUAAAUAAAAUUUACAUAUUAUUUGCUAUUUUUAUAAUCAAAAGGUAUUAUUAUUAUUAUUAUUAUUAUUAUUAUCAAAAUUUAUUAUUUUUAUUAAAAGACAUUAUUCAAAUGUGAAUUUUUUGCUCUCUUAAUAGCUAGUAUGUCAAUCAUUAAUGGUUAAGCUAUUACAUAAUAGAAACAAAGAACACUUGAACAUAUUGAGUGAUAUGUGGUAACAUAUAAAGAAUAUAUAAGAAGAAAAUUAAAUGCCCAAGAUAGGCGAAAAAUUAAUUUGAAUAAUGUUGCACCUUUUUGUAAUUAUUGUGCGAUUGGACAACUAAGAAAAAAGGCACGUGAAUACAUUAAAGAACAUAGUUAACAAAAUGAAUAUAUAAAAAAAGACAUAGUAAUAUAAUUAUUAAAAAUAAUGGUGUUGGUUGAGACAUUGCUUAACCUAUGAAUCAUUAGAAAAAUAGACAAUAAAGACAAUAUGCAAGGGUUGAAGCAAUUCUAUGCACAUUAAGAAAAGAAAAGAAAUAAAUGAUAGAACCAAAGAAAUUGAUAAACAAAAGAAUAACUUCCUUAUGAAUAAUAUAAUGAAAGAAAUAUAUUGAAAGGUUGUCAUAUAUUGGAAAUACAAACAUUCAAUGCUCACAUUAUAGAAUUUUCCAUCAAAUAGAUGAACAAACUAUCUAAUUGACAAAACUAAAUCUACAAUUUGGUACAUAUUAUCUUCAUAGAAAUAUUAAGCUUUUUCUUCUUAAAGAUCUCUUGUUGUUAAUUAGACAAUUAUUUUAUAGAAAAGAAAAAAAAAAACAAUGAGUUUUGAAAGAAUAUUUGAUAAUAUAAUAGAAUACACAUGUUUACAUCUUUUAGUGCAAAAGUUGAUAAAUACUCUCUUAGAAGGAUAUGGUUCUUAAAACUUUUACAAACUUAGAAAGAUUCCAUAUUAAAUGGAUAUUCUUUUACUUGAGUAAGGUAUAGAAGCAAGUUAUAUAUAACUUUACAUUUGUAAAUCCAAUAUUGCACAUGAAGUAAUGAUGGUACAUAAUGCCAAUUUGUCAAGCUAUAUAAUAUCAAAUCUUUAAGAAUGUUUGAAAUAUCAUUACAUAUUUUUUUUUUUACUUUGUCAAUAAGUUCAUAAAAUAUUGUAUGAAGCAAAAAAGUUGAAAGAAAAAUGAUGAUGUACAUGAGUAUUUCUACUUUAGUAAAGAUUAAAAAAAAGACAUUAUAAUCUUCCAAAUUCUAAUAAGGUUAUUAUUAUUAUAUUUAAUAAUAGAAAAAAUAAAAAAUAUAUAAAUUAUAUUUAUUAUUUAAAUGGAUUUUUAUUUUUAUCAAUGUUUUUUUAUAAUUUAACAAAUAUUUGAUUAUCUAAAGAUGUUAAAAGUUACUACAAGAAUUUAAUAUGGAUAUUUGAGCAAUAAUAGAGUAGAAUCAAUUAAAAUACUUAAAUAUGAAUUAAGAUGGAUUAUAUACACAUGUUUAUCAAGGAUUAGUAGACGUUUUUAAAAAAUUACAAAAUUAAGAAGUUAACAUGCAAAAUCUAGGACAAAGGAUAAUUCUUUAGUUAUCUUUUGUUAAAAGUACAAAAAACUUGUUUAAAUUUUUUCAAGAUUCCAUGACUGUUAUUCAAUACUUUUAAUAUCCAAAUAUAUUUGAAACAAUGAUUGUAAAUCCCAAAUGGCUAGAAAUUCAAGUAUAGUCUUUUUAGGAGAAAUAUCCUAAGAUUGUCUCAACUUAGUAGCGAGAGUAUUUAAACAAAAGCAUUGCAUUGAUUGAUUGAUGUUUGUAAGCAUCACAUCUUAAAACAUGUUCUGGUAAAAGUCCAUACUAUUGAGAUUCAAAAGCAAGGUCUUUUACACAUGCACUUCUUGAUCUUUUAAAAAAAAAAAUAAAGUAAAAGAUUGAAUCAAUGUUAAUAGGAUCAUUUGUGCAAAUGAUUUUAUUAAAAAAGAAGACAUGUUCUUAUUUAAGACAACCAAUAUUUGCAUAGUUUAUGGUCCAUGUAAACCUCAAAAUAUGCAAGCUCUAUAUAUGGUAGAUAAGAUAUUUCAAAAGAGAUAUCCUAAAUAAUAUUAAAAAAUAACAUCAAUGAAUGAUGAUAGCUAUCUCUAAUAUUAUAGAAAAAAGAAUAAAAGAACUUUUAAUAUUAACAAUCACAUUAUAGACAAUUGAGAUGUUAUUCUAUAUUAUUCUAUUCUUAAUAAAAGAAAUAAUUAUCAAAUCAUUAUUGAAGUUUUUGCUUCACUUCAUAUUAUGAAACAUAUUUAUAAAUGCAUCUUUAAAGGAUAUAAUUAUAUAAUAAUAGAAAUUAUAAAUAGAGAGAAUAAGCAUAAGCAAUGUAUUGAUGCAUGAUAUAUUGGAAUUUAAAAGAUAGCAUAGCAUUUAUUUAGAAUGAAAAAUGUAUAAAGAAGUUUUAAUGUGGUUUGAUUGAUAUUAUAUUUUUUUAGAAUGCAUCAAGUAAUUUUUGAUUCAAAUGAUGAUGCCAUUGAAGUCUUAGUCUGUAGAAAGCAGAUGAAAAAUUUGAUGAUAUUUUUUGAAAUAUAUAAAUUUGUAGAGAUUACUUGCAAAUACAAGUAUUAAGAAUUUCCAUAGCAUUUUAUAUAGAACAGAAUUUCAAAGAAGUAGACAGUAAGAUAACAUGAAUUUGUUUUGGAAGGUUAUAUUUUGUUGAUUGUGUUCAAGAGAAAGAUUCUAUCUUUGGCUUAUUUUAACAAUAAUAUUUGGACCACGUUCAUUUGAAGAUUUGUAUAUUAUAAAUGGAGUACUUCAAUUAAAAUUUUAAGAAUACUUGAUUAGAAAUGAGAUUGUUGGAGGAUGAUAAAGAAUAGAAUCAAUACUUGGAAGAAGCCUCCAUAAUAAUAUUAAAAAAAUCAUAGUAAUUUUAUUUAUUAUUAUUAUUAUUAUUUUUUGAUGUUCAAACCAUGUAACAUGUUUAAGGAAAGUUUUUGUAAUAAUGUAGAUUAUUGAUUGAUUCAAGAUCAUGAAAUUGAGAUGCAAAUAAAGAAUGAGAUAUUAGAUUAUAGACUAUAUCUACUUAAUGAAAUUCUUUAAGAAUCAAACAAUAUGCUUUCUGAUUUUCUAUUAAUGCUUAUAAAAUUUUUGAAAUUGCUAGAAAUUGUAUAAUUAUGAAGCAUAUGGGAUUGAAUCAUAAUAAGUUGAUACAAAUAAUAAAAAAAAGUGUGAAAAAAUUGAAUGAUGAAUAAUAUAUAAUAUAUUUGGAUAUUAUUACUUUAAUAUAUAAUAAUCUUAGAAAAUUAUAUUUCUUAGAAGAAUAAGCAUGAAGUGGAAAAAUAUUUGUUUAUAAUACAACAACAAUGAAGUUUUAAAAUUAUAGAAAGAUUAAUUUGUAUAUUUCUUUUUCUCAAAUUGUAACACAAUUUUUAAGUGGUAAAUGGAUUCCAUACUCUAUAUUUAAAAUUCUACUCCAUCUUAAUAAAGAAUUAUUUUGUAAUAAAAUAAAGAAAAAAUUAUAUAAAAAUGAAUUAAGAAAGAUGGUUCUUAUCAUAUAAAAUGAAGUACCAAUGUAAUAUUUCUAUUAUGUUGAGGCAAUCAAUAGAACUCUCUAAGACAUAAAUGACAUCUAUAAGUUAUUUAAUAGAAUUAUAUUAAUAUAUUUUAGAUAUUUUUAGCAAAUUCUUCUUGUUAUUAUUAAAGAUUUAAGAGAGAAUUUUUUUUAUGCUUCUUUGUAAUAAUAAAAGAUUUAGUUUCAUAUUAAAGUAUGUAAGUUGACCAAAAAAAUAUAUUUGAAAGGUGAAUCUAAUAAAAACUAAUUAUAUAUCAGGGAAUUUUUAAAGGUAUAUAUUAUAUAAGAAUUUUAUUUUUGAGAAUUUUUCCAUGAUACAAUGUUUAUGUUUAAUAUAUCUAAGAAUGAUAUCUAUUUUCAAAUUGGAAAUAGAUCAACAAUUAUAGAUGAAUUGAAAAGUCCUUUGAUUCUUCUAAAAUAUAUGAAAAUAAGUCCAAUAUCAAAUGAUUUAAUUCAAGCACUUUAUUUGGAACUAGAUGAAGAUAAAAUAAUUAUUGAUGAAUAUUUUACCAAAAUGUCAAUUUUAUCUAUAUAAAAUUAUAAUAUUGAUGAUCUAAAUAUGUGUACUAUGAAGAGAAUUCUUAGAAUUUCACAUGCUUGUCUUAGCACAGAUAUAGUAGUUAUAUAAGAUGAUAAUGAAAAUAAAAAUUCUUAUCUAAAAAAAUAUUUAAAUAGCAUAAGUCCAUCUAAAUUACUACCAUUUAAAAUAGAGCUAAAAAUUGGAUGUCCAAUUAUGUUUUUGCAGAAUAUUGCUUCACAUUAAGGACUUUGCUCAAAGCUAUCAAACUUGGUCAUUACACAAUUGAUUGAUUAUAUGAUAAAAUCAACAUUGUUAUCUAAAGACUUUAAAGGAUAAUUGGUUUUUCUUCCUAUGAUUAUAUUAUAUCCAUCAUUUGAAAGUUUUUGAUCAAGUUGCAAUAAAGGUAGUUUUUAAUAUAGAUGGCAUUUGCAAUGACCAUUAAUUUUUUUUUCAAGAUAGUCAUUGAGGAAGAUAGGAAUAGAACUUAGAAUCUCUAUAUUUGCAUAAGGAUUUGUAUAUUUCUCUUUUAUGAUACACUUCUUCAAAAAUGAUCAAGAUCAUAUAUCUUAAAAAUAAAUGUAGACAAAAAUACCACCAUAAAUGUGGUCUAAUCUAAAGUUUUUUUUAACUUAGCUAUUUGAGUUAUGGUAGUAAAUAAGAAUUAUAUUUAUCAAUUAUAUUAAUAAAAUAUAUAUAAUUUUAUUAUUGUAUGUAUAAUUUAUUUAUUCUUAUUUUAUUUUUAUUUUUUAAAAUUUAUUUCUUGAUCAACACUUCAAUAGGAGUAAUCAAUUUUUGACUAAGCUACCACAAAUUAGAAUUUUAUAGCUUUUUUGUUUCCAAUGGCAUGGGUUGCCACUAGUAUUACAUAUAUGUAAAUCUUUAUCUACUAGUAAUAAUGCAAUAAUAAUUUCAGUAUUAUUACUAUCCAUUUUUUUACCAAAACAACCAUAUUACAUCUCAAUAAUGUCUCUAAUAUUAAUAUUGUUAACAUCCAUUAUAAAUUGAUUAUUUUCAUCAAUCCAAUAAGUGAAUGUGAAUCCCCACUGUUAUUAUAAUUCUUAUUGGAAUUAACCUAAAUCAUAAUAGGUAGUAACUUUGCAUAACACUGCCUGAAUUUAGAGGAAUAGCAUGUAAUACACAGCAUCUCUUUAACCAACCGGGAGACUCUGCAGAGCCAGCUUGCAAUCCAGAAGUUCAAAAAACGAAAUAUAAAAAACAUGUAGAAAAUAUAAUGAAGCUAGCAUAGAUUGUGGAGAUUGGGCUACUUUUGGACUUGUAAAAUGUCAGUGAGAUUGUUUCAAAUGACCAAGAUUCUCGUGGUCUCUCAGCAUAGUUUUACUGAACGUUAUUUAACUUUGUGAUCUUGCAGUGAAUCAAUCUCACUCCCAAUCCAAAUCAGACAACUUUCGAGAAAGAUGAUUGCUUCUUUUCCGGUAGGUAGUUGUGAGAUUGUGUCUUCCAACUUGUUCUGAAGGAGUCUAGAAUCUUCAACCUUGUCUCAGAAGUUUUUGCUAAUUCUCAAUUGUGAUUGCCUCCAAUUCCGAGUUCAAUCGAAGCUGCAUGAUUGUCACAGAAUGUUGAACUCCCCAGUUGUCCAUUUCAUCUUUGUCUCGGAUUCCUUCUCUCCACAUGUACCUCCUAACGGUCCACUCUAGACCACCAUCUACGGUGUCUAACUCCAUUUGUAAUUGCAAAAUAACAUCAUGGUGUCUCAUUUUUCUGUUGCCUGUCGAGUCAUGGGCUUCAGAGCUUUCUGCAUGAUUCAGCUUCGUUCAUUCUUGCAUACCAUAAUCUCCUAACCGUUUUGCAAGACCUCUUCAGCAUGUGUCUCCUCAAUAGGUGCGAUUCUCUUGGCUCUUGGUGCAUGAGUUUGUCGCCCCUUAGGUCGGAGCAACAGAAACGACUUGCAGUUUCCAAGUCGAGCGAAACUCACAGUC